rnacentral:misc_RNA from 1 species
GAAAUGCGAUAAGUAAUGUGAAUUGCAGAAUUCAGUGAAUCAUCGAAUCUUUGAACGCACAUUGCGCCCGCCAGUAUUCUGGCGGGCAUGCCUGUUCGAGCGUCAUUACAACCCUCAGGCCCCCGGGCCUGGCGUUGGGGAUCGGCGGAAGCCCCCUGCGGGCACAACGCCGUCCCCCAAAUACAGUGGCGGUCCCGCCGCAGCUUCCAUUGCGUAGUAGCUAACACCUCGCAACUGGAGAGCGGCGCGGCCACGCCGUAAAACACCCAACUUCUGAAUGUUGACCUCGAAUCAGGUAGGUAUACCCGCUGAACUUAAGC